rnacentral:rRNA from 1 species
AGCAGCCGCGGUAAUUCCAGCUCCAAUAGCGUAUAUUAAAGUUGUUGCAGUUAAAAGCUCGUAGUUGAAUUUCGGGGUCAGUAAGUUGGUCGUGCCACUGGUAUGUACUGGCUUUACUGAUUCCUCCUUCUUGUAGAACCGUAAUGCCAUUAAGUUGGUGUUGCGGGAAAACAGGACUGUUACUUUGAAAAAAUUAGAGUGUUUAAAGCAAGCUAACGCUUGAAUACAUUAGCAUGGAAUAAUGAAAUAGGACGAACGAUCCUAUUUUGUUGGUUUCUAGGAUUGACGUAAUGAUUAAUAGGGAUAGUUGGGGGCAUUAGUAUUCAAUUGUCAGAGGUGAAAUUCUUGGAUUUAUUGAAGACUAACUACUGCGAAAGCAUUUUGCCAAGGAUGUUUUCAUUAAUCAAGAACGAAAGUUAGGGGAUCGAAGACGAUCAGAUACCGUCGUAGUCUUAACCAUAAACUAUGCCGACUAGGGAUCGGAUGAUGUUAAUUUUUUUAAUGACUCAUUCGGCGCCUU